CAAAGGAGUAGGUCCAGUAAGACCCCUUUUUGGCCCCAAAAUAUAGCAGUUUUACAAAAUUGUUAAAAUGUAUACUUUUAGUUAUUUAUUGGACAGAAGAAUGCUUCUGCUACAUAAAUAUGGGCUGUUUUUGACAAUACCAUGCACAUAUAAAGGGUAGUAGCACCAUUAAGUCAUGCUAAAUUACUGAAAUCUUCACAUUUCUAGCAUUUUAGUUAAAUUUUAGACGGUUUC
rnacentral:lncRNA from 1 species